CUCGCUCAACAUGUCUUUAUCUCUCAUCUGUAGGAAGAGAAACGAUGGCCCAAGAUUUACAGGUCACACCUUCUGGUUCGUUCCGUGACAAAGUUCGGUUCUUUCUUCCGGAGGACUCCAAGAUUACAAUGUCUUUGUAUGGUGCACCCUUCUCCUCCACGACAAGACUAACCUAAUGGCUCCUCUCUACCCUACCCCAUCGAAGAGGACGUUAACCAGUCUUCCCAUCCCUUCUGCGAUCAUUGCCGCUGUGUAGGUUGGAGUGGCCAUUUUGUAACAAAGAGAAGGUAGCAUUUCAUAAUCCCGAUGGACAACGGGUGGCAUAAACCCUCAAGUGAAGGUGCUCUUGAUAAUCAGAGUCAUCUCUUGCAUGGGGUUAUUCACUGCAAUGGAUACGGCCAUUUGCUUUGUAUUAAUGGCGUAGAAGGGGGUUAUAAAGUUCUCAGUGGGAGAGGGAUCAUGGAUCUCUGGGACAGGAACUGCAUCAAUCUUUGAGCAAGCAAUCCUGUAUCUACAGAAGACCAAAUUGAUUACAUACUCGAAGGUUUACCUUCAGAUUACAACUCGUUCGUCCUCAACGUUCGUUUGUGUGAAAAAGCCUAUGGUUUGGAUGACUUAGCAAUCGAGUUAUUGGCCUUUGAACAAUUGUUACUGAAGCAAAACGAAGCUCUGCUAAGCAACCCAGCCUCAGCAAACCUUGCUUCAUCUUAGAGCAACUCAGACACAAAUCUACAGACCUCUUCCUUGAAGCAUCUUCCAUUGCAAUUUUCAGGUUGCACUCUUUCGCCAACCCAGGUUGCCCGAUAACACCUUCUGGUCCAUUCCAUGACAACGUUCGGUUCUUUCCUCAAGAA